rnacentral:miRNA from 10 species
CUGCCAUGAUGCCAGCUGCAGUGGGGGAGGCACCACUGGGGCUGCAUGCUCUAUGAAGCCGAUAGGAGCCAGGAGCAGG